rnacentral:rRNA from 1 species
AGUGAACGCUGGCGGUAGGCCUAACACAUGCAAGUCGAACGGCAGCACAGUAAGAGCUUGCUCUUACGGGUGGCGAGUGGCGGACGGGUGAGGAAUACAUCGGAAUCUACUUUUUCGUGGGGGAUAACGUAGGGAAACUUACGCUAAUACCGCAUACGACCUACGGGUGAAAGCAGGGGAUCUUCGGACCUUGCGCGAUUGAAUGAGCCGAUGUCGGAUUAGCUAGUUGGCGGGGUAAAGGCCCACCAAGGCGACGAUCCGUAGCUGGUCUGAGAGGAUGAUCAGCCACACUGGAACUGAGACACGGUCCAGACGCCUACGGGAGGCAGCAGUGGGGAAUAUGGGACAAUGGGCGCAAGCCUGAUCCAGCCAUACCGCGUGGGUGAAGAAGGCCUGCGGGUUGUAAAGCCAUUUUGUUGGGAAAGAAAAGCAGCAGGUUAAUACCCCGCUGUUCUGACGGUACCCAAAGAAUAAGCACCGGCUAACUUCGU